UGACAAUGCCGGGCACUAAAACGACUGGGUGAAGACCUGAUACGCCAUCUCUCUUUAAAACAGCCCCCGGAGAGUCAAUCGCUGGAAAGCCAGCAUUUUCUUCACAUAUGCAACAACGACAUUAGGUUUGUCCUCUGAUUUAUGUGCAUCAUCAAUGGUUUGGAUCCCCAUAGAAGAAUUCUUAACAGGGUUGACGUAGUAUAAUUUGCGGAGACGAAGAACAGAGGCCAUGGAUUAAGGAGUGAAGAGGUUGAGAUCAAGAAAAUCAAAGAAGAACGAUGAAACCCAUGACUUAUGGGGGGAUUUAAAACAGAAAAAAGGUUAAAACGAGCUGUCAAGAAAGCAAUACACGUGGCGAAACGAAAAGGACAAGAGGGAGUAAAUGGCCUGGUGGCCAUGGGUAGCUGAAGGUGUGCAGUCGGAACAAAACAGGGGAUGUGAAAGGAAAGAGAAAAGGAAGAGGCUUCUCUUGUGCAACUCAUUAUGAGAAUGAAAAAGGAAAAGGGUUGUGCGAAUUGCAGAGGAAAUGGGAAUGGAGAAUCCGAAGUAACACAUUUUGGAUCAUCAAAAUGACACUUGGCUCUGUUUCUGCAUGGGAGCUUCGUCAGGUGUCGGCCCCUCUGGGCCUCUGUCUUCACUGCAUAUCAUAGCUUUUUGAAUAACACUCUUUUUCGAUUGUUUAUCGCUAAUGUGCAAUGGGAAGGAACUUGCUUUCUUUUCUUUUUAA